rnacentral:rRNA from 1 species
GACGAACGCUGGCGGCGUGCCUAAUACAUGCAAGUCGAGCGCUGAAGGCUGGUACUUGUCCCAACUGGAUGAGCAGCGCACGGGUGAGUAACGCGUGGGGAAUCUGCCUUUGAGCGGGGGACAACAUUUGGAAACGAAUGCUAAUACCGCAUAAAAACCUUAAACACAAGUUUUAAGUUUGAAAGAUGCAAUUGCAUCACUCAAAGAUGAUCCCGCGUUGUAUUAGCUAGUUGGUGAGGUAAAGGCUCACCAAGGCGAGGAAACAGAGCCGACCUGAGAGGGUGGGCAGCCGCAAUGGGACGGUGACCCGGCCCAAUGUCCCACAGAUAGCGGCAAGAGGGAAUCGUCGGCAAUGGGCGGAAGUCUGUGCGAGAUACGCGGCGUGAGUAAGGAAGGUUUUCGGGUCGGAAAACUCGGUUGGUGGGGAGGAACGUGCGUGAGAGUGUAAAGCUCAGUGAGUGACGGUAACUACCCAGGAAGCAACGGCUAACUACGUG